GCCGUUGUAGCUCAGUUGGUAGAGCACGUGCAUGGUAAGCACGAGGUCGACAGUUCAAUCCUGUCCGACGGCU
rnacentral:tRNA from 1 species